UCCCUAGUGGCCCAAUGGUUAAGACUCUGCCCUUUCAAUGCAGUGGGUGCAGGUUCAAUCCCUGCUCAGGGAA
rnacentral:tRNA from 1 species